rnacentral:lncRNA from 1 species
UAUUUUGAAAUUCAAACCCUAAACGCUAAAAUUCAACUCUAAACCCUAAACCAUCAAUUUUAAACACGAACCCUAAACCCUAAACCAUCAGUCCUAAACCCUAUUUUCUUUUGAAAUACGAACCCUAAACCCUGAAACAUCAACUCCAAACUCUAAACCCUGAAACAUCAAAUCUAAACCCUAAACCCUAAACCCUAAACCUUCAACUCUAAACAAUAAAACAUCAACUCUAAACCCUAAAUCCUAAACUUCAACUCUAAACCCUAAACCCUAAACCAUCAACACUAAACCCUAAACUAUCAACACUAAACCCUAAACCCUAAAAAGUAAACUCUAAACCCUAAAACAUCAACCCUAAACCCUAAUACAUCAACUCUAAACUCUAAAUCCUAAAACCCUAAAUCCUAAACCCUAAAUCCUAAACCCUAAACCCUAAAA